AGCAAUGUUUUAGAUUUUUUUUUAUUUUUCUCACAAACCUAUAGUUUCGCUUCAGAAGACAUUGAGGGACCGUCAAAGUUAAGGGUCCCAUCCACUUAUAUGGACUCAGAGAAGGACGUGAGAAGGCAUGAGGAAAUUAUUCUUGUAUGUGUAACACCAUUUGGAUCACAAGAUACAGAUCCUGCUUUCAAACAUAUGAGGUUUAUUAUGACAGAAGCAUUUUAACAUGGAUUUUGAGUGACGCUGAAGAUGAAGUACCAGUCUUUGGUGCUCCUGGAUUCAGAGAUGCUGCUAUUUCCUUCAUAAAAACCCCACAGACAAUUCCAUGGAAUGAGCGUCUAGGAAUUUGCACCAGAUCCUUUUCUUCCCGCUCGACUUGUGCCCUGCCAACAUCUGCUCUUUUGAAGACACCAGUAAAUCCAUUUUUAUAUUAUUCUUUAAAUUUCUACCCAACACAUGCAGAUACUGCUGUCCACCACAGCUGUUGGAGGAGAGUUUCAGAGCUUAGUGUAACUAUGUGUGUUUAUAAAUGAGGCGGACAGGCUCUAUCAACUCCAUUGUUUUCAUGUCAUUUUGGCCUUUUAUAUGAUUGUUAAAGGAAUAGUUCACCCACAUUCAAUAUAUCAUAUUUUCCUCAAGGUCUCUGAGUCAGGUGUUUCUUGGCCUUUCUCUUUUCCUUUUUCCUAGAGGGUCCCUGUUUUUGAGAUUUGAAAUUUUAACAAUUUAAGUGUUUAUUCAAGAAAAAUCUGAUGAGAAAAACUGUGAUGUCUGAUUCUUACAUAUUGAAUAUUUUCAAUGCAAUGGUUGGCUCAUUUCACAAAAUUUUAAUAAUUAAUUCACAAAUCAGACUGAUUCAGUACUUGGGUUCAACUCACUGACACAGAGUUACAUUGUUGCGUUGUUUAAAAAAUCAGAUUAUCAGCAAAUAACAAAUUAUUUAGGUAUUUUCCUCAAACAGAGCUAUUAAAUGACUUCAGAAGACUUGAAAUAGAGUGCAGAAAUCAAUGGACUACUUGCACGGUACUUACUGUAUGGUGUGUCCUGUUGAAGCUUAAGAUCUCAUUCCAAAUUGAAAAAAGAGUGACCAGUACAGUUUUCAAAAUUUAUCCUAUAGUGCUUUUCAGAAGAAAGAACAGAAUGAGUGAAUUAUCCUUUUAUCAUGAGUUUGGCCUGACAGUUUGCAAAAUGGCUUCGGUCAAAAUUAUCAAUGACUUGUUAAAGGCUUCUGAUUCUGGUGCCAUUUCCAUUCUCAUCCAUCUUGAUUUUAGUGCAGUUUUUGAUGUGUCAAGAACAGUUUUAAACUGGUUUAAAUCCUAUUUUACUGACUUUUCCCAGUUCAUUUCUAUGGUUGGUUACAGGUCUGAGAUCAGCUUUAUGUGUAUUGGUGUUCAUCAAGGCUCAGUUUUGGGGCCUUUUCUGUUCAGUAUUUACUUGUCACCACUGAGGCGUCUGUUGUGAUUGCUUGGUCUACACUACCAUUUCCAUGCUGACGAUACUCAAAUCUAUACACUUAAAACCUGGUGAAAAUCUUGAUGUCUGCUAUCUAUCUGAUUGUAUUUCUGAGAUAAAAACAUGGAUGAAUAAUAACUUCCUCUGCCUUACUUUUUAAAAUGAGCAUUUAGCACUUGUUGAAGUUUAUGUUAUUAUUUUAUUUAUUGUGUUUUGCUUAUUUUGUGUACAGCGCUUUGAAAAGCUGCUUUAAAGGUGCAUUAUAAAAUAAAGUUUAUUAUUAUUAUUAUUUUUAUUCUUUC
ensembl:lncRNA